AAAGGAUGGGGCUUUUUGAAGGCUGCUGAGGAGAUCCACAGCGCAACACUGACACAGAAACGUCAGCCUGCACCAGCAACCGAGCAAGCAACAAAAUGUUCCCAGUGCUCUGGCAAACAGCAAGCCAGCCACGUGUUGUAACACAAUACAAAGCCACAAAUGCCACAAAGGAGUCCACCGCUAUGCAGCUGGAGUCCUUGCCAAUUCGUCUCUACAACAGCGGAAACAAACAGAACACUUCUGGCAUGUGUGGAAAUAUUUCUGACGGACAUUGCGGUGUUAAGAGAGAGAGAAAAAAAUUAAGGUUGGAGAGGGAACAACUGUUUAUAGCUGCUUUAAGAAAACACCUUUGGUUGAGGAGGUGAGAUUGUCAGUUCUUUUUAAGAGCCUGCACUGAAUGCUGACACCAACUGACAGAGGCACAGCGCUCCCCAUGCAAGGUGACCAACCUUCCUUCUCAUGGUUAUUUUUGCUGUCCUCUGGGUUUAUUGGUUUGUUUUCGGCUUGUGUCUGGCAUAGCGCUAGUGAUUCUUUAACACCCCUCCUACAUUUUGCAUCAUAAAUUACAAAACAACAUAUACAAACUUUAUGGUCAAGGGGUUUGAGCUCACCAGUACCAUCUUGUGACUAGUGUUAUGAGACCUGUGUUAACCCUUCCAUCUGAUUCCAUUUGCUGUAAUAGUUUUACAAGGAAUGGUUCAACAUUUACUUCUAUAUCUAUAACAUAUACAGUAACUGAGUAGCAAAGACAAUUACCCUGUGUAGUGAGAAAAGAAUUGAAAAAUCGUUUACAUGAAAACUUAUUUAAAUAAGUAAAUGAUGAAUGGGUGCAUUUAGUAAAAUGUUUAUGUAUUUUUGAGAGAAACAAUUUUUUUUUUGCAAAUUGUUUGGUUAAAAAUAUUUGGAAUUUAAAAUGGGAAUGUGCAGAAUUUGUCAUUUUACAUGAGGGGAGAUUUUGUGGCAAUGUAUUUCUUACAUAGUGUCUCCAUCAGACUUUAAAGAAAAGGAACCGCUAUGGUAAGUCAUUUUCUAAUUUAUUUUCUGAUGCAGACUAUAAUGGUUGCAGUUUUUUUUUGUUUGUUUCAUAUUAUUUAUCUGCACACAUUAUGCAGCUGCCUAUAUUUUCAACAUUUGGCAGACUCUCUUAUCCAGAGUGACUUACAGUCAAGUGCUUUUGAAGUCACUAUCAAUGGUUACAUCAAUGCUGGUUCACUAGGUCACAGACUAAGAAUACUAUCAGUCUGAAACUCUCUUGGGAAGCAGUGCAGCAAGCCAAAUGCAGACAUUUUUGUUAAACAAGUGCUAAUUUAAGUACUUUAGGAAGAGGUAGGUCUUAAUACAUGUUUUGAAGACCAGUUACUCGACUGUUCGGAUAGCUAGUGGAAGUUCAUUUCACCAGCUAGAUGCCAGAACAGAGAAGAGUCUUGAUGUGUACCUUCCAUGUAUCCUGAGAGAUGGUGGGACCAGUUGAGCAGUGCUGGAGGAUCGGAAGGAGCGUGGGAUCAUGGCUUGAGUAUUUCAAGGCAGGCUUGAAUAUUUCAAAAAUGGCUGAUCUCCUGGGAUUCUCAUACACAACACUCUAUAGGGUUCAUACAGAACAGUGUGAAAAACAAAAAAUAUCCCAUGAGUGGUGGUUCUGUUGGUGAAAACGUCUUGUGGAUGGGAGAGGUCUGAAGAGAAUGACCAGACUGGUUCAAAUUGAUAGGAAGUAACUCUAGCAAAUGCUUCACAAACGUGGUGAGCAGAAAAGCAUCUCAGAGUGCACAACAACAUGCUGAAAGUUUAAACUACAACAGCAGAAGACCUCCUAAGGAUCCGUUCCUGUCAUCCAGCAGGAAUCUGAGGCUACAGCGGGUAAAGGCUAACCAAAACAGAUGAUGUUUUUUCAAUAUUUAACAGUUCAGUUUCAAUAAACUUGUGCCCACUGUAGCCUCAAAUACCAGCAUUCCAGUAAAAAUCACAAUAGUCAAGAAAGCAUGGAAAAGGAAGUUGGUUCACAAUGUCUGUUUCACAAUCUACAGAGAGGAUGGCUUGAUUCACUCUUGAGACUCGCUCGUAACUUACGAUGGAGGAGGUUCUGCAUGAUUUACUCCCUCAAGGGGAUCUCUUUAAACACUUAAACCCUUCAGCAUCUCCAUUUAACCAUAAAGGUAGCUCUCUUGCCUCAGAUUCGCAGCCUCAUUCAUCUUACUCAGGCUGUGAAAACAUGUAAAAAAGCACUUCAGAGAAGGGGACUGACAGUAGACUUUCACUGAGUUUAGUUUCAGAGUGUAGAGUGUAUAAAAUAUUAAUAAAGAUGCCAUUUUGUUUUGACACAUUUGUUCACCUUAUAGCACUUUAUGCCAAUGAUUACUGAAGUGUGCCCAUUUGUGACGCCUAUUUAGACAGAUAGUUGGCAGAUUUACUUUUGCCAAAUAAUUAUAGCUCAUAUUAUUGAACAAAAGAAAUUCAAUAAACAAUUUAAAAAAAAAAAUUAUGCCUUUAGCAUUUUACAGACAGGUCAGACCCUGAUAUAUUUUGUGAUGAAUAUUUUCUACACUUUUUUCUCUUUUUUUUUUGCAUUGAUUUUACAUAGAAUUUAUUAGAAUGAUUAGAUUUUUUCCCCCAAAAUUUGUAUAUACUGUUCCAGUACACAGCAGCCAAUCACAGUUUCAUCACAAACCCUGUGAGACUGGACCAGUAUCAAGGAUUUCUAUAAUACAGAAAACACACAUUAGUGGUUCAAUGUGGAUUUUUCCUGUACAGGUCUAACAUUCGCAGUAACAAUCCUGAAUAAUCUGCCAAAAAAUGUUUUUCCUUUUCAAUAAAAUAUCUUAUGUCAUCUCGUGUUCGACAAACCCAUCAUUGAUUCAUAAAAUCAUUACACCAGAUAAUGUUAAUGCUACCUAAAUGUGGGAACAGAAAGUAUUUCCGUUUGUUACGCCUGGAGAUUGGAGAUUGUCUAGACAGAGGGGGUAGCCUGGCAUAGUACUUGAUGUUGUGCCAGGUAAAAAUUCCCCCUCUGUGUCUGUGGCUACCUGCUAAGUAUGCACCUGUUAAUAUAGCUGUGUUUCUGGCAUGCAAACGUGCAAAUGAGGAUUUCGCCUUGUUUGCUAAUUCACACACAAAGUGAUAAAUGUAGAACAUUUGGGUCAUUGUGCACCAAGGGAUUGCUUCGAAGGGUGAUCCAGUGACAGCCAAGGAAGUUUUUUUCUCUCUCAUUUGAUAAAUAACUCUCAUUGGCUCCCCAUUGCUCUGCAUUGUUGCUUUGCCCUUCAUUCAUUUCCUUCUGAAAUCAGCCCUCUGCGUCAUGCUGUCAGAAAGUUAAUGAGGUACUUUGACAUGGAUGACUACUAUUCCUUGCAUACUUAUGGUUGUUUUUCACACUAUUGUAACUCUAUGCAAUACAGACAAGUGUGCAGUCUACAACAAGUAGAUCUAAUUAAAUGUUCUAGACAUUUGUGUAUUGAGUGUCUCUUACUGGUUAUUAAUCUCUUAAUGGGGUCAAAGCCCAUCAAUCAGACGUCUUUUUAGCACAUGCCAUUGAUUGUGAAUUUGCCACUAAAUUGCUAGUCAGGUCACUCACCACAAGCCUGAAGCUGCAGUCCCACUAGAAACUUAUUUGUGGCAGCUUUGCAAGAUAGGCAUGACUAAGACAGAACUGUUUUUCAUUCUUUAAAGUAUGUAUGUAGGAUCAAUCCAUAGCAGCAAAAGCUGAGUCACAGUGCAGGAACUAGAAGAGAGCAAGUAUCAGUCUUUAAUAUCAUAGCUAGGUCUGAUUUCAAAAGCUUCAUUUUGUUGGAUAUCCAAUUUGCUUAUUAACAUCAAAAGGUUGCUAUCAGGGAACACAGCUAGAUUUAGUGACCUUCAGGGACAAUUUAUUCAAUUUAUUUCAUUUCAAUUUAAGUGAUUGAGAAGUUGCAUAUGAAAUACCGUAGUGUGUGUAAUAAAUAUGAAAGAAGUGGAUUGCGACAUACAUCAUAAUACAUCAAAAUGUUUCCCCAAAAUACACUUGAUGGAGAUACUAGACGUGAAUAAACCAAGCUCACAUUCAUUCCCAAUUCAUUCAUGCAUUCAUUUUCUUUCCACUUCCUGUACUUUUGGGGGCGGAUAAAACAAAUUGCACAAAAAAGAAUAAACAACAAAACAGUGUUUUUUGUAGUUUUGUGGUUUGAGUAAAUGUUUAUAUGAAGGCUAAUAUCAAGCAUAGCUUUUUUGCUGACCAAUGAUUGCUAAUGUUAAAAAUUUAGGACCAUGCACAGUGCUGCUUAUCUGUAUUUCGUUGAUAUGUGCAUGCAAAAUAGUUUUAUGCCUAUAUGAUGAAAUUCCAUGCUAUAAGACUAACCCUAAUGGUUUCAUAAUAGAAACAAGGACAUUCUUGUGGAUAAUAAACACAUUCUUACAUUACGGCGCUCGUCAUGUGUGAUGUUAUUUAUUUUCUUUGUUGUAUUGCUAAAGGUUAUUUAAUAAAUCUGACUUUGUUUUUCUUGUGUUGAGCAGUACAUAAGAAUUGACUUUUCUCCUGCAUUGUAAGUUAUUGUAGUAAUUAAAUUGGAGCUCUCCUACAGGGAAUUGGAUUGUAUUUUUGUGCACAUUCACCAUGAGUCAAAAUCUUGUUACUAUAAGAAGGUACAAGUUGUCAAAAUAUCACUUGUUUUUUCUUUCAGAAGGCCUCUGAGAGCCUGACCAAUGGAAGUUUCCAUGAGAUCAACAUAUUGUGCAUCCUACACAGACAUCGCUACAACUGAAAAAUGAAAACACUAUGCACAUCAUUCCAGCAUGUGUCUACUUGCCAAGUUUCAGUAUAAUAUUUAAUCCCACAUAUAGUAUAAAAAGAUUAACAGAAAAAGUAGUCAUUUCCUUUCUUACUUGAAACAUGCUUUCAUAUUUAUUUUGGAUUUUUUUCCACAUUCUUCUCCACUGCCAAGAGAUUUGACUCUACUGAUUGCAGCUAAACCCUGUGCUUUCUUCCCUCAUCUGUAGGUCACAAUGAGCAACGUCUGAGCCUGAAUCUGCGCAGUCGGCACUGAGGGACGGAAUCAGACAGCCACGCAAAUAUUACUGGACAGCUGAACUGGCAACAUUUCAAAAAGCUAAAUGUCAGAGAGAAGCUCAUUUGCAGCACAGGGAAAGGAAGGCACAGAGGCGGGGGUAGUGGAAGUGGAGUAGGGAAAGAUGAGACCUCUUGCCUAAAAUCACUUUCUCACCACUUUGGAGACACAACAGUUGCAAAUAAUAAAGGCUGCCAAAAACAUCUCAAGAGAGCUGAUAGAGCUGGCGAGAGUACUCAUCUUUUUUUCUUUUUAAGUACACUUAACCUUUUCAAUUCAACAGAGAUUCCAAGGUUUCUCUUUUACAAAGCUUGAAUAUGUUAUGGCAGUAUCCUUAAAGAUCAUGGACUUCUUUAGGCAGUGGCUUGUAUGUAUUCAGUUCAAGAUUUCAGGCUGUUGUUUUGCACAGCUGUUGGUAUCAUGCGCAUCAUUAUUAAUCCACUGGCACCUGCGCUGCUCUCUGGGAUGAGAGAAAAUGGUGGUAAUGAUCCCCCUGUUAUUUUGAGCCAGACAAGCUUCAAUUGCCAGGCAGCGUCCAUCCAUUGUUUCCGACAGGUGACUUGUUUUGCAGCUAAAUGUGCAUUUUCUCCUUCAUACAUCACUGCUGUUAUUAUAAUGUGCUGGAUGUCUCCAGCGUACAUCCAUUUCCUUAUUCCCCAGAUUCUCACCUAAUCUUGGUGGCAGUGACAGGGUUAGGAUUGCACUAUUCACAGUUUUAUGUCACUACUGUGCUUCCUGGUUCCUUUUCUUAUCACUGAUCUGCAUUUCUAAACAUGAAUUUAUUGCACACCUCCUACUGUAAUGAUCCCUAAUAGACCUCACCUUAAGACAACAGCUCUGAGACUGGUACCAUCUGGUGCACUUUCUAACAGCCUAGAUAACCAAGAAGCCAUAAAGCCACUGGUGAGGUGUUUUGCAUUAAGGAUGUCAACGGUCUUAGCUCAUGUUAUAAGAUAACCAUGACCGGAUCUGAUAAGUCGUUCAAACAUCUCAUACAUGUUUGGACAGCAACACAACACUGAUGUGGGAUUAGCAGUGUUUCUUCCUGUUUAUUCGUUGUUGCUGAAAUGAGGUAGCAUCAAACAGCAUCAAACAAAACAGCCUUACAGAUAGCAGGUCAAGUGUGGAAAACUCAUCGAUGCCAAACUGACCUUAACCACUUAUAGCUUUCAUAAUAAUUUGAUUUUGUUCUAUAUAUUGAUUUUGUUUGAGAUUGAUCUUGGAGUUGGGAGUAUCAGCCAUGAGUGCUGAUGGUUUUUAUGCAAGCUUCAUUGGUUAGAGCUGGUAAAGGUCAAAGAGUUAAAUCAAUCAGUUCAUUAUUUAAAUGUAUAAGUUACUUUCUUUAUAAAUGGCAAACCAUGUUCGGUUCACAAAAAAACCACGCUACACUAAAAGGAAAGCUAAUCUGCUAGGUAAGUGUAUCUACCUAAGAAAACGAUCUUGGGAAAUAUAUAACAUGGUCUACAUAAUGGAGCAUAUCAUAUAUUCACAGUCAGCAAAAAGCCAGAAUAUCGAUGGCAAACGUUUUGGCUAUAAGAUGUGGUGUCCUGUACUGCAUGUAAAAGAUACUAUUUGGGUCGUGUUCAUUUUAUAUUGAUGUGUGAUUUACCUCAAAGUAGAGUAAUGUGAGAGAUUUGUGUUGGCUGAACUUAUUUUGUUUGUUUUCGUCAGUGUUUCCACAUACUUACAUGUUCCUGAUUCUGUUAAGCAACAAAAAAUCAUUCUUCCAUCAAGCAGUCUGUGCCUCAGGUGAUGUGUGUAAUGCAGCAUGGGACUGUAUAACAUAUACAGUAUAUUGAAGUAACACAAUUAUGUAUUGUUUUUUUUUUUUUAUUCCCAACAGAUCAUGAGAGAGUCACAGAACCAAAGCUGUAACAAGGACUGUUGUGUUCUGCUCUGGUCCUUUUCUGUUCAGGUUCCAUAAAGCUUAGAUGUCUUUUGGUUUUUGCCUUGAUAUCAGUGUCCCUCAGUCAUGCCCCAACAGUUUUCCAUUUGCCCUCGUCCCCUCCUCUCUCCCACUGCUGUCACUGUGAAAUAUGUUCAGGCUCCCUUCUUUAGUCCCAAAGCGGAAAGGAGGUGAACAGCCAGACAAGGCCAAAGACACUCAACCAAUUGCUUUGAGCUAUUUUUUUUAGUCAUAAAAGAGAGGGAUGAUGUUUUUAGAAGCUACAUAUAUGGAUGCAUUUUUAAAAAACAAAGACUCAAUUACCCAAACAAUAAAAAACACCAAUAAUAUACUGAGAAAGAUAAUGUUUUUGAGUAUAAUAUUUGGAAAAUUUCUCUCAGUGUGGCUCUCCUUGCUGGAGGCAAUGCAAAGAACAUCCAUCAACAAACUCUAUGUAAAAAAUACUGUGAUGGGCUGUUCCUUGUCUAAUAUUAUUUCUCGUUUGCCACUCUUGCCUCUGGCUCGAUCGAAAUCAGCAUCCGGAUUUCUGUAAAGCUGCUUUGAUACAUUAGUUACGUCAAACAUGAAAAGCGCUAUAUAAAUAAAAUGUAAUUACAUUUAUUUGAAUUGUCAACAUCAUAGCGGAUAUGUACUGUGUGGAUUUUAAUCAGCGGGACGCAGAGAUGUGUUAUUUACACAAAGUUGGCUCUAACACUUCACAGCCAAGUCCUGAAGAUCUUCUACUUAUUCAUUUCCCUCUAUACCCAUGUCAUUUUUAAAUGAAAGUGUUUCACAUAUUGAAUACUGAUGCAAUAUGAUUCAUCUAUUUUUGAAUUAACCAAAAAUGCUAGUUGGCAACAGUAAUAUUUUUAGACAGGUCAAUACAUCAUAAGAGCUGCCUUCGACUAUGUAAGAAGAUCCUUGUCCUUUUUUUUUAAGACAGUGAAUCUUCUCAUUUCUGCAUUGAAUUGAAAUAUAUAGCGUGAGAAAAAAAAAGCAACAAUAGAUCAAAAUAGUACAGCAAUCUUCCAAUAGUGGUUAUAGAUGUGGAAAACGGUUUUAUUAAAGUUCGAUGUUAUGACAUUGAAACAAUCCUAAAAAAGAAAAGGUGGCUUUCUGUGUUAGCUGUCACACAUUCAAGCUGGUAAAUAUUUAAUAACUGGGGAGAACUGAAUAGUGUGGUCACAAUUUAGAGCAGUCCAUAAUCAUUAAAUUUGCGUUUAUUGGUCAAUUCAUUUGCUAAGAAAACAGAUCAAUUGCUGUGGCAGCAUAUCUGCAAAGCCAUUGCAUGAUUUGUUUGAAGGAAGGUGCCACCUACUGAUGCUGCCUACUUCUCGCUUGAGUAAGUGCGUUGUGCUUGUUGCUGGGAUCCUGACUAACAAGCAAGGCACUCAUACUGUCACAAGCUGGACUUGUAUGUAAUCUUUGUAUACAGUUUAGAUAAAUAAUAUAGAUGAUCCUUAGCAGAAACUCAGCUGAAGUAUUUUUUUUUAUUUUUUUUUAAUACAACUACAAAAGAAAAAAAUGUCUGGAUGGAAAGCAACAAAACAAAUAAAAUACACAUGCAAAUAAAAAUAUGUGAACCCUGCAGACCUUCAUAUAACCUUUUAGGCAUUUACAUAACAGUGAGUUAUGUAUACUGUUUAUUUAAGAGCAGAAAAGGCUGAAAUGUUAAAACCCACAAGAGGAAACAAGUUCCUUAUAAAAGCAGUUUAUGAGAUGCAGUAGAGUUUUUGGCUCUUUUUCCAAAAAAAAAAAAAAAAUUAAGCUUUUCUUUUUAAUGUGUUGUGUUGUUUUUUUUUGCUCUUUUUUGUCUCUAGCUUAGGCUUUCAGUUCUGCAGGCUCUCAAAGUUGGAUCAAUUUGUAAAUCUGUUGAUCGAUAUUUAGGCUGUUUUAAUCAGAAAAAGUUUUGCCUCAUUUAAUGUUAUCCUGUUUUCAUCGGCUUAGUGCAUUUUCACAUUACAAACAUGUCUGUUAAAAUAAAUGAUUGUUUCUUUGCAAGGCAGCGCAUGCAUAAACUUUUAGCAGAGCUGUAAAUAAGCCAGCAUCCAGAGUUGAGUAGAUGAGGAAUAAGGGGUUUUCUCAAGAGAUUAGGAAUGGUUUGCUCAUUCUGUUAAAUAUGGUAUUUGUUUAUCAUACCAUUAAUUAUCAUGUAUUUAUAUAUAUUAAUGUUCCUUCCUAUAAAUACUUGAGUUUUUUAAAAUCAUUAUUAUUAUUCUUAUUAUUAUUUACUUUAAUUUCAAUAAAGCUACUGUAGAAAUCUAAAAUCUCCUUAGAAAUACAUUAAAAUUGGAAAGGCUUAUAAGUGACUUUAUUAUUAUUAUUUAUUUAUUUAUUUAUUUAUACAAUGAUUUCUAUCCUGCAUGAAAACCUGCGCCUCCAUAUUUCUUUCCUACAUUGCAGCUUACCUGUGGUCAGGGAGUUCUCGAAGGUUUCAGGGUCAUUGACUCCUCUUCUGUCUCUUCUUCCACACUGUAAAUGCUCUCAAUAACAUUUACAAAAGAGAACAACUUAAAUGCCAGCCACAUGUUGUACAGCUAUGUGGAUCAUUGAUUUUAGUGACCGAGCUGGGCAAAAGAGAAUGACCGUAUGAUGUUAGCUGUCCUACUGGUGCCUUGAGAGUAUCAGUGUGCUGAGCUCUUUGCUACAGGCAGUGGUGAUGUGGAGGGAAUUUUGGUUGCCGAGCAGCACAUAAUGAGCUCAUAAUGAGGAGCAGGUGCCCUUGAACCUGUGGCAAGAGGAAGGCAUGUGAUGGCUGGCAUGAGCCACAAGCUGCUUUUGUAUGAGGGAAUCUAUUUAUGCCACAUCAACCAACCUACUGUGUGCACAAAAAACACACAUUGUGGACAGUUGUAGCUGAUGUUAAUACUGUACUUGGCCCUGGGGCAUCUAUUCAUUUAAACAGCAGUAUUGCAAGCAACUCCUUUAAUGUAGUUCUAAAUAUAAUGUUAUUGAGGUAAGCUGAAGCAUAGGUGGAACAAAUGAAAACACAUUCACAUUAUGUACUACAUUGUGUAUCUAGAACAUAGUUGUCAUACCUUAUCCGGAAAGGGCCGGUGUGGUUGUGGGUUUUCAUUCCAACCAAGCAGAAGACACACCUGUGUCUGUUGAAAGCAAAAAUCGGUUGAUUAAACAGGUGGAAUCAGGU